rnacentral:rRNA from 1 species
AUUGAACGCUGGCGGCAUGCCUUACACAUGCAAGUCGAACGGCAGCGGACCUUCGGGUGCCGGCGAGUGGCGAACGGGUGAGUAAUAUAUCGGAACGUACCUUUCAGUGGGGGAUAACGUAGCGAAAGUUACGCUAAUACCGCAUAUUCUGUGAGCAGGAAAGCAGGGGAUCGCAAGACCUUGCGCUGAUUGAGCGGCCGAUAUCAGAUUAGCUAGUUGGUGAGGUAAAGGCUCACCAAGGCGACGAUCUGUAGCGGGUCUGAGAGGAUGAUCGCCACACUGGAACUGAGACACGGUCCAGACUCCUACGGGAGGCAGGCAGUGGGGAAUUUUGGACAAUGGGCGCAAGCCUGAUCCAGCCAUGCCGCGUGAGUGAAGAAGGCC